UACGUAGGGUGCAAGCGUUGUCCGGAAUUAUUGGGCGUAAAGGGCUCGUAGGCGGCCAACUAAGUCAUACGUGAAAUCCCUCGGCUUAACCGGGGAACUGCGUCUGAUACUGGAUGGCUUGAGAUUGGGAGAGGGAUGCGGAAUUCCAGGUGUAGCGGUGAAAUGCGUAGAUAUCUGGAGGAACACCGGUGGCGAAGGCGGCAUCCUGGACCAACACUGACGCUGAGGAGCGAAAGCCAGGGGAGCAGACGGG
rnacentral:rRNA from 1 species